CCUACGGGUGGCAGCAGUGGGGAAUAUUGCACAAUGGGGGAAACCCUGAUGCAGCGACGCCGCGUGAGUGCAGAAGUAAUUCGUUAUGUAAAGCUCUAUCAGCAGGGAAGAAAAUGACGGUACCUGAGUAAGAAGCCCCGGCUAACUACGUGCCAGCAGCCGCGGUAAUACGUAGGGGGCAAGCGUUAUCCGGAUUUACUGGGUGUAAAGGGAGCGUAGACGGCAGUGCAAGUCUGGAGUGAAAGGCGGGGGCUCAACCCCCGGACUGCUCUGGAAACUGUACGGCUGGAGUGCAGGAGAGGCAAGUGGAACUACAUGUGUAGCGGUAAAAUGCGUAAAUAUAUGUAAGAACACCAGUGGCGAAGGCGGCUUGCUGGGUCGAUACUGACAUUGAGGCACGAAAGCGUGGGGAGCAAACAGGAUUAGAUACCCUUGUAGUC
rnacentral:rRNA from 1 species